CCCGGGUCUGAGCUUUAGCCAAAUUGUACAGAGGACUGGCCAUGAACAGAGGCAAAAUGACCAGCCAGGAGAAGCAAACCAUCUAAAAAUCACAUCCCGUCA
rnacentral:lncRNA from 1 species